rnacentral:rRNA from 1 species
AGCGGCGGACGGGUGAGUAACGCGUGGGUAACCUGCCCCAUACAAAGGGAUAGCCACUGGAAACGGUGAUUAAUACCUUAUAAGUCGGUAGUCUCGCAUGAGACAGCCGACAAAGAUUUAUCGGUAUGGGAUGGACCCGCGUCUGAUUAGCUAGUUGGUGAGGUAACGGCUCACCAAGGCGACGAUCAGUAGCCGACCUGAGAGGGUGAUCGGCCACACUGGAACUGAGACACGGUCCAGACUCCUACGGGAGGCAGCAGUGGGGAAUAUUGCACAAUGGGCGCAAGCCUGAUGCAGCAACGCCGCGUGAGUGAUGAAGGCCUUCGGGUCGUAAAACUCUGUCCUAUGGGAAGAAAAAAAUGACGGUACCAUAGGAGGAAGCCCCGGCUAACUACGUGCCAGCAGCCGCGGUAAUACGUAGGGUGCGAGCGUUAAUCGGAAUUACUGGGCGUAAAGCGUGCGCAGGCGGUUUUUUAAGAUAGGCGUGAAAUCCCCGGGCUCAACCUGGGAACUGCGCUUAUGACUGGAAGACUAGAGUAUGGCAGAGGGGGGUGGAAUUCCACGUGUAGCAGUGAAAUGCGUAGAGAUGUGGAGGAACACCGAUGGCGAAGGCAGCCCCCUGGGCCAAUACUGACGCUCAUGCACGAAAGCGUGGGGAGCAAACAGGAUUAGAUACCCUGGUAGUCCACGCCCUAAACGAUGUCAACUAGGUGUUGGGUGGGUAAAACCAUUUAGUACCGGAGCUAACGCGUGAAGUUGACCGCCUGGGGAGUACGGCCGCAAGGUUAAAACUCAAAGGAAUUGACGGGGACCCGCACAAGCGGUGGAUGAUGUGGAUUAAUUCGAUGCAACGCG